rnacentral:rRNA from 1 species
CGCCUUGCCAGCCCGCUCAGAACUUAAGGAAUUGACGGGGCCCGCACAAGCGGUGGAGCAUGUGGUUAAUUCGAUGAUACGCGAGGAACCUUACCUGGGCUCAAAUGUAUGUUGACGUAUUCUGAAAGGGAUACUUCUUCGGACAAUAUACAAGGUGCUGCAUGGUUGUCGUCAGCUCGUGCCGUGAGGUGUCGGGUUAAGUCCCAUAACGAGCGCAACCCCUACCUUUAGUUGCCAUCAGGUAAUGCUGGGGACUCUAAAGGAACUGCCUACGCAAGUAGUGAGGAAGGCGGGGAUGACGUCAAAUCAGCACGGCCCUUACGUCCAGGGCUACACACGUGCUACAAUGGCCGAUACAGAGGGCAGCUACCUGGUGACAGGAUGCAAAUCUCCAAAGUCGGUCUCAGUUCGGAUCGGAGUCUGCAACCCGACUCCGUGAAGUUGGAUUCGCUAGUAAUCGCGCAUCAGCCAUGGCGCGGUGAAUACGUUCCCGGGCCUU